CAUAAAGUGUAACUAAAUUUAAAUUAACAGUCAACACGCUAGGCAAGUAAUAAAACGUCAUCUGCCUAGCUAUUUGAUCAACUGGCUGAAUAUCUUUAAGACAGCUAGUUAAACGGCGCUGUUUAGUUAAGAGGCUAGGCUGUUGAUUGAACGACUAAUUCAGCUGGUUGGCUGCGACAUAAACAUCAUAUCAAAACAAAGUUUUUAAGGAAAGUUGUUUACACUUGAGUCAUUUCCUGAUAUACUAGCAGUACUUAUAGAAUCAACUUUUUAUGUUAGACAAAAGGAAUAUUUCAAGUGCAGCAGAAAAAUAAGCGUUGUUUUUAUAGGCUCGGUUUUAUUAGAUUCUUUAAGUCGCUGUUGCUAUUCUUUCCCGACUCGAAUUCUUCACGAAUUCCAUAGAAUGAAUGGUUCUCAUCCAGAACUUGAUAUUGUCGCGACAUCUACAGUCUGCGCUUACAAAUCACUGUGAUGACGUCAUACCCUGAUACGCGUGAACGAAGUUCCAGCUGCUAAGGAUAUAUCGGGCCGGCCAGUCAGGUUAGACUGGUCGCGGAUCACUCACACUGUACACCAUCUUUCCACAAUAUAUUCGGUAGUAUAUCAAGCUCUGGCUCUGGAAGCUAUAGUCGGCUGAUCAAAUUAAAAGAAACCGUAGUGAAUCACCUGGAUACCUAAUCUGUGGAAGUAUCUUUAAAUAUGUAAGUUGAUGGUUCCCGUUGCAGUAAUUACCGUCACGAAGAUGUGCAGAGUUUUUGUCGAAGAAAAGGGAGACAGCGAUUGAGACCGAUUGAGAGAGAGUGAGAAAGGGCGACCGUAGCAUGAAGCUAAUAGCCGUGAAGCGAGAGUAGGGAGCAAGCAAGUGAGAAAGAUCGAGAGAGAGAGUGAGUUCAAGCGAACGUCGCAUCACGCACAGUGCCAUGGAGCGAGGUGGGAGAGAGCUAUAGUGAGAAAGAUUGAGAGAGAGUUUAAAACUUUUAACUUUAACUUAGUUUUAGAUUGUAUAAAUUAGAUUAGAUUUGUAUAAACAUGAACAAGACUUAAAAAUUUGUUUGCCAAAAAUGUUUCACUUCUGAUAUAAUGUGUACUUUGUACGCACGCAUUUUUUGUUUUUGUAAUAUUUUGGCUAGGUAUUUAUUAUAUAUGAAUUGUGAAUAAGUAGGUACGUAUAGAAAUAUAUGCUUGAGCAAAACGAA